GAAACAGACACAAAAUAUGUUUCCUUAUAAGUAAGUCACUUCGACAUGGUUUCUUACACUAGGGGUACAGGCCCGGAUUAACACAGUGUAGUGCCCUAGGGUGACCACAUUUGAAGUACCCCCCCCCCCCCCCCCCCCAUACAAUUUAUAUGCUAGUGAUGAACAUGUCAUACUAAAUAUCUUUAUUUCCAUCAUAAAAGGCAUAUAUGAGGACUACAUGCAAAACCAUAUGUUAAAAAAAAACAAAUAAGCAAGCCCAAGAAAAACUGUUGCAAGCAACCAGCAAAAAACACACACUGAACUUUACAAGCAUCUAAGCAACCAUCUAAAAGCCAAUCGACAACAGCGUCACAUAUUUGCCGAGAAAUAAUGCGAAAAUUGCCUGCAUUUGACCGAGAUUACAGAAUCGUCAGCCACCGACGAUAACACUGUGAUGGUUUGGCAUGCACAGACCUCCGCGAGGGCAGGGGCGAAAUCGCGUUCUGGGGGAGGAG